CAGUAGCCACGGGAAUACGGAGGGUGCAAGCGUUAUCCGGAUUUAUUGGGUUUAAAGGGUCCGUAGGCGGAUCUGUAAGUCAGUGGUGAAAUCUCACAGCUUAACUGUGAAACUGCCAUUGAUACUGCAGGUCUUGAGUAAAUUUGAAGUGGCUGGAAUAAGUAGUGUAGCGGUGAAAUGCAUAGAUAUUACUUAGAACACCAAUUGCGAAGGCAGGUCACUAAGAUUUAACUGACUCUGAUGGACGAAAGCGUGGGGAGCGAACAGGAUUAGAUACCCGCGUAGUCCCUGUCUCUUAUAU
rnacentral:rRNA from 1 species